AUUGAACGCUGGCGGCAGGCCUAACACAUGCAAGUCGAGCGAGCGGCGGACGGGUGAGUAAUGUCUGGGAAACUGCCUGAUGUGGGGGGAUAACUACUGUAAACGGUAGCUAAUACCGCAUACCAUCAGAUGUGCCCAGAUGGGAUUAGCUCGUAGGUGGGGUAACGGCUCACCUAGGCGACGAUCCCUAGCUGGUCUGAGAGGAGGACCAGCCACACUGGACCUGAGACACGGUCCAGACUCCUACGGGAGGCAGCAGUGGGGAAUAUUGCACAAGGGGCGCAAGCCUGAUGCAGCCAUGCCGCGUGUGUGAAGAAGGCCUUCGGGUUGUAAAGCACUUUCAGCGGGGAGGCGUUACCCGCAGAAGAAGCACCGGCUAACUCCGUGCCAGCAGCCGCGGUAAUAC
rnacentral:rRNA from 1 species